rnacentral:rRNA from 1 species
UACAGAGGUCUCGAGCGUUGUUCGGAUUCAUUGGGCGUAAAGGGUGCGUAGGUGGCGCUGUAAGUCGGGUGUGAAAUCCUGAGGCUUAACCUCGGAACUGCAUUCGAUACUGCGGUGCUUGAGGACUGGAGAGGAGACUGGAAUUCAUGGUGUAGCAGUGAAAUGCGUAGAGAUCAUGAGGAAGACCAGUGGCGAAGGCGGGUCUCUGGACAGUUCCUGACACUGAGCACGAAGGCCAGGGGAGCAAACGGG